rnacentral:rRNA from 1 species
GACGAACGCUGGCGGCGUGCUUAACACAUGCAAGUCGAACGGAAAGGCCCUGCUUUUGUGGGGUGCUCGAGUGGCGAACGGGUGAGUAACACGUGAGUAACCUGCCCUUGACUUUGGGAUAACUUCAGGAAACUGGGGCUAAUACCGGAUAGGAGCUCCUGCUGCAUGGUGGGGGUUGGAAAGUUUCGGCGGUUGGGGAUGGACUCGCGGCUUAUCAGCUUGUUGGUGGGGUAGUGGCUUACCAAGGCUUUGACGGGUAGCCGGCCUGAGAGGGUGACCGGCCACAUUGGGACUGAGAUACGGCCCAGACUCCUACGGGAGGCAGCAGUGGGGAAUAUUGCACAGUGAGCGGAAGCCUGAUGCAGCGACGCCGCGUGCGGGAUGACGGCCUUCGGGUUAUGAACCGCUUUCGCCUGUGACGAAGCGUGAGUGACGGUAAUGGGUAAAGAAGCACCGGCUAACUACGUG